ACCUUCGUGGUGUAACGGUAGCAUACUCGGCUCGUAUUAGAGAGUUCCAGAUUCGAAUCCCGGCGAGGGCA
rnacentral:tRNA from 1 species